AGUGUCACUCGGGGAGCUGGGGCCGCUGCUGCUUUCGGGGCGAGGGAGCGCGAGCAGCCUGAAGGGGGCGCGGGGCUCCUCUUCGCCUCCGUGGGGCGGCCAGCGAUGUGCGAUGAAGUGUGUUAAAACAAAAGAGAAACGUGAGAGGCAGCUAUGAAAAGAAUGGCUUGUGUUGGAGCGUGCUGAGAGGCGCAAACAAGCGUGGCGUAUUUAAAUUUCAGAUCUGUGGCGCCGUCCGUGAAGAAUGAAGCCCAAAUGCCUUCAUGGUUAAGAGGAUUAACUCCUCUUAGCUCCUCAGGCUUAUGUUGGAACAGACUUCUCCACAGAAAGUGUAUUGAAUUCACGCUCACUGGAUAACAGUAAUUGAGUCAAGAGAAAUGGAUCAAGAUUGGAAGCCCAGAAAUGGACAUAGCUUUUCAGGAGCCUCCUGAUUGUUGCAGCUCGUGAUGUGUUACAGCAGUGUGAUGUCAUACCAUGAUGGAGUAAUGAUGCAGUCUCUAGACAGCUGAAGAUUACAACCUUGCACUCUUAACUUGCCUUUCUCUCUUAGGCAUUGGUCAGUACAGAGAAUGAAGCUGCUUUUUCAUGAAUUUAGGUUGAUUUUUUGUAAACCCAAAUUCAACUCUGAACCCCUCAACAUUCAUAUAAACAUAUUUCCUGAAGACCUGGCCUCUACAGCAAUAUUUCUGAAGAGCAGGCAUCCAACAAAGUGCUUCCAAUUGACAGACACCACAGUGAGUCACCACUAUGAUUCACUGACAUAGUUGCAGUGCACGGGAUUGUAAAAACAGGGUCAGGUUUUCCUUUGCCAGUACACAGGGAAAGCAGGCCAUUGGCUUCACUACACCAGAAUGAGGGAUGUGGCCCUGGCUAGUGGGUAGUGGUAGGAACACACAGCCUGUCCUUGCAAGCUGCUCCACAGGCUGAAGUUAAAUGACAUGCCACAUGAACUUGAAAAACUAAAUCUGAACAGCUCCCAUUUUACUAACCAGUGCUGUACCACUGCUGAUAGUAACCAGUGUUAUCUGUGCAUUUUCCAAGGUAUGGACAGUUACUGACACAGCCAGUUGGGGCUGUCAGGCAGGUUUUACUGAUGCAAGUCAACCAGCAGUAUGGUGAUGGAGGGAGCAUCCUAGGCCAGAUAUUUAAAUGGCAGAUGUGUCCAAAAGAUCUUUAUCUAGAUCUGUUUCCUCUUUACUUAUCAUUUCUUCUUGUAAACAUUUCUAAAAUGAUGCAAAAAUACUGUUUCGUAAGCAAAGAUAUGUUUGGACUUAGCAGAAGCUUUAUGUAAACUAGAAGGUUGACCUGAAGAGUUGGUUACGUUUGUUUAACCAUCUCCAAGCACACAUCCCACUAGGAUCUGGAUAAAUCAUGUUUCACAGGCACUGUGCAAGGACUAGUGUACUCAGUGUUGUGUUUUUUGUUUUUUAAUUGCAUGGUUUUAUGGAGCUAUGUGAAAGUGCAUAGCGAAAAUAUGUGCAUUGAACAGUUUAUCAGAAGCUGCAUAGCACUUUUUUAUGAGACAGUCAAAAGAGAUGUGUCUGUCCACUAGAAGGAAGAAGCUUAGAAAGAUAGAAGAGGCAGUAGAAAAGAAGCAGCUUAGCUGCAAAAACAGCUGAAUGUUAUGGUGUGAUGCCCAUUCACACACUGGUUGCUCAGAACUUUACCACCAAAUUGUUAGACAGUGAACUCAGUGUAUCACACAGAUUGGAGAAACCAGAUGUCAUAAUAAGUGAUCCCAAUUGUACAGUAAUUGAAAACAGGGCAGAGGCAGCAAUUUCUUCGCAACAGCGUUUAUGCAACGUCACCUUUCAAUGGAAAAUCCUCACUUCAUUUAGUUCUGAGUAACACCAAAUGAUCAGGGCCUGCUAAACCAAACAUAUCACUUCUAGUUUUGGGGAAGGUUUUGCUAUGAGACACAACCGUGGUGUUUGUGUAUUUCAGGACUAGUGCAGCUAUCAUAGUUCCAAAAUAUCCUUGUGGAAGUAUGCGUCCUUGGGUAAGGCAGGACUUCUCCCCAGGCUUACACCUGCCCAUUAGGAAGCAAUAAUUUCAACUCUUCUUUAAGAAAAUGUUUUGAAAGCAGUGUAUGAGGGAUGCUGAAUCUUACCUUUUUUUUUUCUAAAGGAAAGCCUUUUCCUAAAGUAAUUUUAGUAAAGUAGCUCUAAAGUCAUAGGAUGUGUAAGAGAGACAACUAGAUAAGAUUUCCAUGUAGUUAAAUGUGGAUAGGUUAAAAAAUUAUUCAUGGAAGACAACAUGGAAUUAUUAUUCAAAGUUGCGGUCUUUUACUCUGUCUAGAAGCUUAAAUGGAAACGUCAUACAUUUGUUUUGCUGUUCUUCUGUUUGUCAAAAGAAACUGAGAAAUGAAACAAAGAAUUAAGACGUUCAUUUCUUUGGAAAAUUUGUUUAAUUGUGAAGUUGUUUUAAUUUUUUUUCCCAGUACAAUUGAUACUUGGUACCUUGCAAAAAAAAAUAAAAUAGAAAUCUAGU
rnacentral:lncRNA from 1 species